UACGAAGGGGGCUAGCGUUGCUCGGAAUUACUGGGCGUAAAGCGCACGUAGGCGGUUUCUUAAGUCGGGGGUGAAAUCCUGGAGCUCAACUCCAGAACUGCCUUCGAUACUGGGAAACUUGAGUCCGGGAGAGGUGAGUGGAACUGCGAGUGUAGAGGUGAAAUUCGUAGAUAUUCGCAAGAACACCAGUGGCGAAGGCGGCUCACUGGCCCGAAACUGACGCUCAUGCACGACAGCGUGGGGAUCAAACAGG
rnacentral:rRNA from 1 species